rnacentral:rRNA from 1 species
GGAACGUGCCCAGUCGUGGGGGAUAACUGCUCGAAAGAGCAGCUAAUACCGCAUACGACCUGAGGGUGAAAGCGGGGGAUCGCAAGACCUCGCGCGAUUGGAGCGGCCGAUAUCAGAUUAGGUAGUUGGUGAGGUAAAGGCUCACCAAGCCGACGAUCUGUAGCUGGUCUGAGAGGACGACCAGCCACACUGGGACUGAGACACG